rnacentral:rRNA from 1 species
ACUAGAAAAACUUAGCGGCGAACGGGUGAGUAACACGUAAAGAACCUGCCUCAUAGACGGGGACAACUAUUGGAAACGAUAGCUAAUACCGGAUAACAGCAUAAAUCGCAUGAUAUAUGUUUAAAAGUUGGUUUCGGCUAACACUAUGAGAUGGCUUUGCGGUGCAUUAGCUAGUUGGUGGGGUAAAGGCCUACCAAGGCGACGAUGCAUAGCCGACCUGAGAGGGUGAUCGGCCACACUGGGACUGAGACACGGCCCAGACUCCUACGGGAGGCAGCAGUAGGGAAUCUUCCGCAAUGGGCGAAAGCCUGACGGAGCAACGCCGCGUGAGUGAAGAAGGAUUUCGGUUCGUAAAGCUCUGUUGUUAGGGAAGAAUGAUUGUAUAGUAACUAUAUACAGUAGAGACGGUACCUAACCAGAAAGCCACGGCUAACUACGUGCCAGCAGCCGCGGUAAUACGUAGGUGGCAAGCGUUGUCCGGAAUUAUUGGGCGUAAAGCGCGCGCAGGUGGUUUAAUAAGUCUGAUGUGAAAGCCCACGGCUCAACCGUGGAGGGUCAUUGGAAACUGUUAAACUUGAGUGCAGGAGAGAAAAGUGGAAUUCCUAGUGUAGCGGUGAAAUGCGUAGAGAUUAGGAGGAACACCAGUGGCGAAGGCGGCU